GUGGUUUCCAACAAGGAAUGAUUUUGUUUCCACAGAACACUUGUCAGUGUCUGGAGACAUUUUGAAUUAUAAUGAUUAGGUGGUGAUGCUACUGGUAUGUGGUGGUAUAGCCUAGAGAUACUAUUAAUAUCCUACAAUGCAAAGAAUAACCUCCCACAGAAUGCAGGAAUAUCAGGCAUAAAAUGUCAAUAAUGCUAAGGUUUAGCAACUCAACUCUAUCCACUUUCUUUCCACUCUAAAGACAGGAUAUUUCUUUUUCUUUUUUUUUUUUUUUUUUUGCCUGUGUUUAUCUAUUUCUUGGAUUAUGGAACAGAACAAACACGAACACAUUACCUUUUGCCUUUCCUCAUUUCCCACACUCUUUCCUAGAGGUAAUAUUAAGCUUCCAAUUAAUUUUAGAUGGUAGUUUCAAUAAUUUUUUUUCACUGGGUAUUACAAGUCUUCAUUUCAACCCUCUGAGUUUGGUUUACUUGUCCAUUUAAUACUAAUUUAGUGGAUAUGUUUUAGGUGCUGUUAUAGCAGACCCAACUCAAGCUGGUGAUUUCUAUAUUACUUGGAAUAGUGCUAGUUGCUUUGACAACUACACUCAACAACAUAUAAUAUCUUAAACAGAACAGAAGUUUCAUUCAUAUAAACUGUUUUUUUAAGAUAGGAAAAGCAUUGCUCCUUUAUGUCCGCAUUCAAGAACAUAGGCUACUAAGGUAUUUAAUCUGCAGUAUGUUGCUUCCAAGACUACUGUAGAAUUGGCCACUCCAGUCAAGCAUACUGAAAAACGUAUACAGAAGAGUGCAUGUUGGGAUUUUGGAGACUAAGUUGGAUAUAAAAUAUGUUAUUUCUACUAAUUUUCCACUAUUUUGACUUUAAUCCCAUGCCCUAAUAUAAAGUAUAUAAGAAUGAGAAAUAUAGUUUAUGUAUCUAUCAAAAUAGAACAUAAAUGUUUGUGAACAUUUGAAUCUGUCAGCUUCUCUUGCUCACGUGCCUGUAGUGCCUGUACUCGGGAUGCUGAGGCAGAAGAAAUGGGUCCUUGGGAUUUGAAAAGUAGUAUUCAAUUUGGAAGUUUAAUUUGCAACAUAGAUUGUUUGUUAUUAAAUUACUAGAUAUAGUAUCACAAAGGCGGAAAGAAAGGUUGCUUAGUUAAAGAUCUAAGUUACUAGUCAUGGUGUCAGAUAUAGAGAAUGAUUGAAGGUUAUUAGAGUCACACACCAGAUGAGUAAAUUGUUGUUUUCAAGGAAGAGGUUACAUAAAGGUAAGCGGAGUAAUAUUUUAGCAUUUUUGUUAAUUAAAAAUUUGUAAAGUUAUUUCCAUUUCAAGGAAAUUACUCUCAGUAAUUUUACGGGUAAAAUGACAAAUUCCAAGUUUAAUUUUCACACGUAACACCCUCCUUGAGCACUUAUUUUUAUAAAGCUAUUAGUCUAUUUUGGUCUCAAUUUACCUUUCUUUAAAGAGAUGUUAAAAUUUUCUGAAAGAAGUUGAGAUCUGGAAGUGUAGCUGUGCUAUUUUUCAAUUUUUAAUUACAUAUUUAAUUAUCCUUUAAUUACUUAAGGUUAUUCUCAAAAGUGAAGAGAUAGCUGGGAUCACACUGCAUAAGAUUUUACUCCUGAAUGUAAUAUUCAAAAAUGUUACAAAGUCUAUCAAAGAGGUUUUCAUUCUGCGACAAUAGAUGGUCAAUUUGACAUGGUCAGGAAGCACCACCCCCACUGAGAGAUACCAAAUUAUGGAGUAAACCACCAUAAUUUAGGCAGAUCUUGAGAGAGAAAAUGCUGAGUGGAUGGAGAGGCCUGAAGCAAUGAAGCUGAGCUGAAGAGGGAGGAAGCCUGUGCAGGGAACCCAAACACUACAGCUAGUUCCCCAGAAUGGCUCCUAGGAAAGGGCCUCUGCCUGAGAGAGACCUGUGGCCUAGAACACCUAACACAAGAAACACAGUGAUUGCAGGAGACUCCCCCAGGGCCCAGGAGCAGAUCUGGUGAUGGAGGCAUCUCUCCCACCCCCACUAUAGAGCACACCUGCAAACAAAAGGAAGUAUAAAACAGCCAAGCCACUGGGUAUUAGGCUAGCCACUGGCCAUCACUCUUAAGCACCAUGCAUUGGAUCACAUCCCAAACUACAACAUCAAAAUUUAUCCUGCUACAUAUACACCUGUGAAACCAAACACAAGAAUUACUCAUACAUAAAAAUCCUGGACAGAGACAGCCCUGACCCUUUGAAAGCAUCCAGAAACAAAACCAAUUGCCUAUACUCAACAUACACUACAGUUAAAGGAACACUAACCCUACCAGAAGAGAAAAAAUCAGUGCAAGAACUCUGGCAAUUCAAAAAGCUAGAGUGUCCUCUUACCUCAAAAUUAGCCCACUAGCUACCAAGCAAUGGUUCUUAAUCAGUCUAAAAUAAUUGCAACAGACAUAGAAUACAGAACCUCGAUGGCAGGGAAGCUCAUGAACAUUAAGGAGAAAGUUGAAACCCAAUCCAAGUAAUCCAGUAAAGCAAUCUAAGUAAGUGCUGAAAGAUGAAACUGCCAUUUUAAAAAACAGCCACACUGAAUUUCUAGAGCAGAAAAAAUUCAGUAUAAGAAUUUUAUAAUACAAUAAGAAAUAUUAACAGAAGGUAGGCCAAGCUAAGGAAAGAAUCUCAGAGCUCAAAGACUGGUUCGUUCAAUCAACUGAGUCAAAAGAAAAUUUUAAAAAAGAAUUAAAAAAAGAAAAUGAACCAAAGCUUUAAGAAAUAUGGAAUUAUAUAAAGAGACCAAAUCUACGACUCAUUGUCAUUCCUAGAAGAGAAAGAAAGAGAAAAGGCAACUUGGAAAAUAGAUUUGAGAAUAGAGUCUAUGAAAAUUUUCCUAACCUCGCUAGAGAGAGUGACAUGUAAAUCCAAAAAAUACAGCAAACCCAGCUAGGUACUAUAAAAGGUGACUAUCCCUAAGGUACAUAGUCAUCAUAUUCACCAAAGUAAAUACAAAAGAAAAAAAAAUCUUAAAGGCAGCUAGAGAGAAAGGUCAUGUUUUCAUACAGCAAGAACUCCACUAGGCUAGUAGUAAAUAUCUCAGCAAAAACCUUACAAGCCAGAAGAGAUUAAGAGCCUAUGUCCAACAUCAUUAAUGAAAAUAAAUUCCAGGCAAGAAUUUCAUAUUUCACUAAACUAAACUUCCUAAGUGAAGAAGAAACAAAUUUCUUCUCAGAUAAGCAAAUACUGAGGGAGUCAAUUUCAACUUGACCAGCCUUAUGAAAGGUCCUUAAGGGAGUGCUAUACAUUGAGUAAAAAGAAUGACACCUGCUACCACAAAAACCCACUUAAGUACAUAGCUCACAGGCACUAUAAAGUAUCUACACAAUCAAGUCUACCUAAAAACCAGCUACAAACGUGAUGAUAGGAUCAAAAUCUCAUGUAUCAACAUUAACCAUAAAUGUAAAUAGGCUAAACAC
rnacentral:lncRNA from 10 species